GAUGAACGCUGGCGGCGUGCCUAAUACAUGCAAGUCGAGCGAACAGACGAGGAGCUUGCUCCUCUGACGUUAGCGGCGGACGGGUGAGUAACACGUGGAUAACCUACCUAUAAGACUGGGAUAACUUCGGGAAACCGGAGCUAAUACCGGAUAAUAUAUUGAACCGCAUGGUUCAAUAGUGAAAGACGGUUUUGCUGUCACUCAUAGAUGGAUCCGCGCCGCAUUAGCCAGCUGGUAAGGUAACGGCUUACCAAGGCAACGAGGCGUAGCCGACCUGAGAGGGUGAUAGGCCACACUGGAACGGAGACACGGUCCAAACUCCUACGGGAGGCAGCAGUGGGGAAUCUGCGGCAAUGGGCGAAAGCCUGACGGGGCAACGCGGCGUGGGUGAUGAAGGUCUUCGGAUCGUAAAACUCUGUUAUUGGGGAAAAACAGAUGUGUAAGUAACUAUGCACGUCUUGACGGUACCUAAUCAGAAAGCAACGGCUAACUACGUG
rnacentral:rRNA from 1 species